rnacentral:rRNA from 1 species
AGGACGAACGCUGGCGGCGUGCCUAACACAUGCAAGUCGAACGAGGUCCAUGGAGUGGCAACACUUCGGAAGACCUAGUGGCGAACGGGUGAGUAACACGUGAGGAACCUACCCCGGAGACCGGGAUAACUCUUCGAAAGGAGAGCUAAUACCGGAUACCCCCAUCGGAUCGCAUGGUCUGAUGAGGAAAUGGAUUCCGCUCCGGGCGGGCCUCGCGGCCCAUCAGCUUGUUGGCGAGGUAAUGGCUCACCAAGGCGACGAUCGGUAGCUGGUCUGAGAGGAUGACCAGCAUCACUGGGACUGAGACACGGCCCAGACUCCUACGGGAGGCAGCAGUGGGGAAUAUUGGACAAUGGGCGCAAGCCUGAUCCAGCCAUGCCGCGUGGAUGAUGAAGGCCUUAGGGUUGUAAAGUCCUUUUAACGGGGAAGAUAAUGACGGUACCGUAGAAUAAGCCCCGGCUAACUUCGUGCCAGCAGCCGC